rnacentral:lncRNA from 1 species
CAAUAAUAGGAUAGUCUUUUUAGAAAAGGAGUUCUUUGGUGAAGAAACUAAUGUCUCAAAGAUUAAACUUGAUAAAGUUCGAUCGGUAGAAGAAUCGAUACAAUCUAGUAAACCCAUAGAGUCAGGCUUGAUUAAAUCAAAUCCGAAACCUAUUGUAGAAAUAUCUUUAAGAAGAUCCGGUAGAGUACCGCAUCAACCAGAUAGAUGCUAUGAUUUCUUAGUCUG